CCGAACACGACCCGAACACGAAACAAGUAUUAUACUUGUUUUGGGUCUUGAUAUUGUUUAAGAGACAAAUAUAAAACAAGCAAACAAUAUGUGUUUAGGGUCGGGUAGGGUGGAAACAUUGUUUCGACCCGAAACACAAUAACCCCCAAACCCAAAUAAGCAAAGAAACAUAAACACUAAACAGUAAACACGUAUGUUUCUCGGCUCAGCCUUCUUCUCCGACGUUGCUCACGACUGUCGGAACCCUAGCCGCCGCCUAAUCAGUCAAUCGUUGCCGUCCGUCGACGCGCCUCCGCCUCGCCGUCGCCGUCGCCACCCCUCGUCUCAACGCCGGAACCCUAGCCGCCGCCGAAUCUGUCGAUCUUUGCCGGCGACGCCGAGGAGGAGGACGAGUCGGCUCUCGACCCCGAGCUCCGAUACAGCUUCCAGUGGAAUUUCAAGGUUCAAAGUGAUCAUUUCGAGGAGUUUUUCGCCUGAAUUAGACAAACAUGGUUAUGAAGCUUUAUACAAGAAAAAAACGAUCGAGGUUUAUGGUGGGAAUAUCAAUACAAUAGAUGGCUGUGCUACAUUUGUU